CUUCGCAGUAAAUGCCUGAGAUGCGGACUAUAAGAAGGUUCCCUGCGAUAUUGUAGGGAAAUAUUCAGUGCAGACACCAGACUGCUCUGAACGCUUAACUUGGAGAGUGCUGCCUUGGAACAUUUUAUCUGCAACGCGGCAUUCUGGUUUUGAGAGUGUGUAUGUGCCCUUUUGUGCCUGUAUGUUGUUUCAUCUGUCUACCCUUUCUGGAUGAAAGCUCCAUGGGAGCAGUAAUUCACCACUGUACUCCAGCACUUGGAAAAGUGCCUAGGUGCAUGGUAGGUUAAUCUGCUCCCAAACCAGGUCUGAUUCUUAACUCCCAGAGACAACAUCCUACCAUCUGAGGGUUCUGUUUACCAGCUCUAGCUCCAGCCAGUAUUUAUUCACCACACAUUCUCUAGAGUCCUGACCCACUCCCCUUGCCAAAUCUCACACAUUCUUCUGCUUGUUCCUGACACCUACAGAAUUGUUUAAACUUGGCACAUAUGGUCCUUUAGAGGCUAACGCUGGUCAGCUUUACCAGUCUCUUCUCCAGUUAACCGCUCCAUGCUCUAAUCCUACAGAAUUUCUCACCAGUUCCUGCUGUGUUUCAUGCCUUUAUCCAUGCGGGCUCUAGAUGGGAUGCCUUAUCCUCUUCUCUGGCAAAUCCACCCAUUCACUCAACAAAUAUUUACUGAAUGUUUAAUAUGCGCAUACUGUGUAAAGGACUGGAGAAUCAAAGAAAAAUAAGACAAGAGUCUGCCAGUCUGGCUGGUAUGAGAGUCAGACAACUCAGCCAACACAACACUAUGGGAAGAGAACAGUAACAGGGAUGAGUGGCCCAUAAUCAGAACAGGAUGUGGCAGGAGGGCGUUUUAAGGGAGAAAGUCUUCCGGGAUGAGGUAAAAUGCCUGAGCUGAGUCUUGACAAGGAAGUACAGGCUGAUUAGGUAAACCAGGGAGGAGAUGACAUUUUAGGAAGUGUUAAAUGAUCACAAAGUCCUCCUCAGUAUUAUUAUAAAAGUCUCUAUUUCCUCAUUUUCUAAAUGAAUUUAACUGCUUCAUGGAAGACAUGGAAUUCAGGGUCAAGUGGGAGAGACGUCAGUGCGUGAGAACUUCAGUGCUAUUUUGAAUCCUGAUUGAAGAGAUCAAAAGAGAAUAUAAGAAGUUAGAACUCAUUUCUGGGGCACCACCUCGAUGAAAAAGCUGACAAGUUCCUGCUACCCAGAGCCCUGCAGUUGCCACAGCUCAAUCUCUUCUCAACCUGGUGCCCAGCUUUUCCUGUUGAUUCUGCAACUAGGCCAGUCAUCUUUUCAAAAAUUCCUUUUCUGCUUGUUGACUAUCUCUGCUAUUUGCAACCAGAAGUAUUUAGAUAAAAUAUUUUUAAAAUGUAUAUGUCACCUUUUUCCUAAUUAUGAUGCAAACUUAUCGCAGAAAACUCGUAAUUCUAUACAUUAGAUACAACUAAUGUUAACAUCUUAGUGUUUCCUUCUACUCUUCUAUUCUAAAUAUAUAUACAUAUAUACUUCUUUAAAAAUAGUUGAGUAAUUAGAAGUAGAGUGACU
rnacentral:lncRNA from 1 species